UGUCUCCCUUUAAGGUCUGCUCACAGGGUGAGGUGCCUGAAGGCCAAUCUGAGUGGAAGAUUUACUCCAUUUUCAGCUACUGCUGAAGAGGCAAAAUUUGCCUUAAUUUUUUUGUCAGGCAUUACUUUCCAUGUUAACAUGAAAACAGCUGAUGGCAUGGUUAUGCAAAUUCUUUUGAAUCUCUGGCUCUUUUUUAAAUCUUUCAACAAAUUCCCAAUUGGCUGAGAUACUCUAUUGUUAUUGAAAUAAUUCUAGUAAAACUUGGUAUAUUUCAUUCAAAAUUAAGAAAAGUGCACUGUAUUACGAUGAUUGAAACUUUCCAAGGAAAUAUUUGGCGUACGAUUUAAACGUUCCUGUUUAUUUUCCUCGUUGCGUGCCUGUUGUCACGGCGUAAUCUGAUUGGCUGGAUGCAUUAUCCGCCGCGAUCUGAAUGCCAGAUUUGACGAAUUAAAAUGCCGCGAGGGUAAUGCGGCGUGUCAUUCUGAGUUCAGCGGCGGCGUUAACGCGAACAAUCGCGGUUUAUCACGGGUAUCUCCUAGACGCAGCUGCCAUUCGGCGGGACUCCCGGUAGACUGCGCCGUGUUCCCGCCGCGCAAUGCUCACCAGUGCAUGAUAGAAUGCUCUUCGUUCGCCAGGACGGUGAGGCCUCUGAUCGUAUGAAGACAAAACGGGUGGUAAAUUCGAUUCUCUCCCUUCGCUGCAUGGCAGACCGCAAUCCUAUUUAUAUUUUACACUGUCCUUUGUGGCAUCGUAUAUAUUAUUUUGCUUUAUUAUGCUUUUUUACAGACAUAACAAUGAUUUAUUUAUUUUUCUCACACUCCAAAUCACUCUGGCAUGUUUUCCCUGUUAAUAUAUGCCCUUAGGUCAAUCUCUGUAUUACUAAGUAUCUCUGUGAUACAAUACGUUUCAUUACAAAUGAAAACCUGUCUAGUUAUAACAACAUGCAAGGAGUAGUUUACUUUUCUUACACUUGACGUCACUUUCGCACGUUUUCCAUCUUUAAGUCUGUCCUUAGGUCACUGUAUUAUUAAGAAUAUCUGUGAUUACGUAUCACGUAACACUCACAAUACGUAAUCUCAAACGAAAACCUGUAUACCUGUGUCUAAAUGCGAGAACCGAGUUGUUUUUUCUAUAUUCAGUUACUUUCUUUUCUCAUCUGUAUGAAAAACCUUUUUAUUGUCGUGAUCAGUUAAAUGUGAUGGUUUGGGGGCAGGUUUCUCAGUUUGCUGUUAAUAAGUGUUCAUGGGUGGGAUACGUGUUGCUUAUAAUUCAUUAAUUACAGUAAAGAUGUCACCUUAGUGUUGUCCACCUGGGGGAAAAACACUCUCGAUUUCCAGUACCUGGCAGGUGUCCUUCCUGGACUUUUUUUGGAAACAUCCUAGGUCUCAUAUGACAGACUGGAGAUACAUCACAGGCUGUAAACAUACAUCUGGCCUUCAAACAGAAGUGUCUACAAACAGAGACGGAGUAAGCUUGUGAGAGAGGGGAUCUGCCAUCCCAUGCCAACAUGCUUCCCCGGAUCUGCAGUAAAGCAGGAGCUAGAGGCCAGUUUGUCGAGUGCAUUAAUCGCCACAUGCUGAGCUCACCAGCUUGAAGACUGACUGCUGAAAAUAAGUCAAAGGAUGGUAAAUGGCCUGUUUAUUCGGAUGCUGUCGUUUUCUUGGGCCGCCUGGGCGUUAUUUACUUUGGGGCUGACAGAAAGCUUGGGCAUGGGCAUGAAUUUAAAAUGUGUGCAUUUAUGAAGGAUACACUGGUUGUUUCAGGAAAUAUUAAGGUAAAUGGAUGGCUGGAGAGUUCCGAUCAUGCAGCAGCAGCAAGGGGAGACUCAAAGAAAGGCUUUUGAUCAAAAUCACAUCUCUGUUAAGAUUGUUUUUUUUUUUGUUUCCUGGUUUUCACUCAAUCAGUUGUUUUUAAUUAGACUUGGCUCAUCCGUGCCCUUCUGACUCCAAACAUCCAGCCAGAUGCCUUGUGCAGGGUGUCCACUUUACCCACAACAUCCCCGCCAAGACCAUUUCUUUCUUUAUGCAUUGCAAGUCACAUGAUAUGGAGGAUCCAGAUCUGAUUGGAUGAGCUGAACAACUGGCAAGCUGGAAGUGCCCCACCGCUCUGCAACAGCCAAUUAAGCAGCAGUCAGCUGAGACCCUCUGGCUGACAUUAACGGCUGGGUAGCUCCAAUUACACAUCCCCUGCUGUGGUACCUCCGGUCAUGCUCACCGCGAUGACUUUAGAGAAAGAGAAGUGAGUCGGCGUGAUGCAGCAUGCAGGAUGAGCGGAAGAGUGGGUAUGGAAUGCCGUGCUCUACCACUGCUCUGAUUAUCCCAGUCCCACUCCAAUGAUAAGAACUCUGCUACAUUGCUAAACAGGAAUCUGGGAAGGAUUGGGGAGAUGUUUUGGCCAGGGGCAGUAACCAGAAAGCCAGGCAGUUUAAUGCACUGAAGGCUCUGUGGAGAGGACUGUGAGAUCUCGAGCACUGACCGUACUGUCCUAAGAACUCUGUAGUUCAUUGAUGCUCUGAGACGGGUUUAUGCAGCUCCGGUUGAUGUUGAAACAUAGCGAUGGCCCCAUCAUGGCGAGAGUGCUCUUAAAAAGCCGGUCGCUAGCCUCAGCUGGUGCCACUCCUCCCUGCAUCUGGCCUCGCACUGUCGCCAUCUGGUUCACGCCAGGACAGUAGGGGGUGACUAUUUACGAGGCCUGGCCUGGGGGCCGUGUGGGUGGCCCCAUGCCCAGACUACUGCAAGGGGAGCGACUGUCGGGGGGUGGGCGAAUCCAACUCCAUCCCAAGCUCUGUGCCGCCUGGCACGCAAGGCCGCCUGGGUGCUUUGGUGAAUUCAUCUUCCGCUGUCACCAUGGUGCAAAAGAGAAUGUUGAGCAGACAAAAAUUCUGAAAGGGGGGAGGGGAGCAGGUCUGGUGGUGGCAUUUUGCUGGUAUAGUAACAUAGAUUUUCUGUCUGACUGGUAAUGGCAAUCUCAUUAGAGCGUAUUACUUCCAAAUCAAAUGUAAUCUCCCUCUCACUUGAAGUGGAUGGAUUCUCCUGAAGUGCCGUUAAUGUGCGACGCUAUGAGACCCAAACCCUUUAUUUGAGAAAUUAAAAUGGGAAAAUGCAGAUUCACCUAAAUUCUACAUGAUCAAAUGAACACGCACCACGCAAUUUUUAUGCUGCCGGUACUAAUGUGAUGUUUAAUUUAUAUCUAUAUGGAGGAUUGUGGGUAAUAUGAUCAAUAGAGAAACAGCAAAGGUGUAAUUAUGAAUGAGCAUUUCUGAAUGUUUUUUUUUCACAGCCUUUUCCUGACAAUGGUUGUCAUGCUUGUACUCUUCCAUGUUUAACGAAACCAAAACCAACAGAACGAAUUGGAUGAAGACCAUGUGACAGUUGCUGGAACAACUCUACACCGUGCUUAAUUAAAAAUGGAUUGAAGUUGAACAAAAUAAAACCAGCACGAUGA